CAGCAGCCACGGUAAUACGAAGGGGGCUAGCGUUGUUCGGAAUUACUGGGCGUAAAGCGCACGUAGGCGGAUAUUUAAGUCAGGGGUGAAAUCCCAGAGCUCAACUCUGGAACUGCCUUUGAUACUGGGUAUCUUGAGUAUGGAAGAGGUGAGUGGAAUUCCGAGUGUAGAGGUGAAAUUCGUAGAUAUUCGGAGGAACACCAGUGGCGAAGGCGGCUCACUGGUCCAUUACUGACGCUGAGGUGCGAAAGCGUGGGGAGCAAACAGGAUUAGAUACCCCUGUAGUCCCUGUCUCUUAUAA
rnacentral:rRNA from 1 species